rnacentral:rRNA from 1 species
AGGAAGGUGGGGAUGACGUCAAAUCAGCACGGCCCUUACGUCCGGGGCUACACACGUGUUACAAUGGGGGGUACAGAGGGCCGCUACCACGCGAGUGGAUGCCAAUCCCUAAAACCCCUCUCAGUUCGGACUGGAGUCUGCAACCCGACUCCACGAAGCUGGAUUCGCUAGUAAUCGCGCAUCAGCCACGGCGCGGUGAAUACGUUCCCGGGCCUUGUACACACCGCCCGUCAAGCCAUGGGAGCCGGGGGUACCUGAAGUGCGUAACCGCGAGGAUCGCCCUAGGGUAAAACUGGUGACUGGGGCUAAGUCGUAACAAGGUAGCCGUACCGGAAGGUGCGGCUGGAACACCUCCUUUCUGGAG